GUCCUAGCUGUAAACGGUGCGUAUUUGCUGUAAAAGGAAUCGACCCCUUUUGUGGCGUAGCCAACGCGAUAAAUACGCCGCCUGGGAAGUACGGUCGCAAGAUUAAAACUCAAAGAAAUUGACGGGGGCCUGCACAAGCGGUGGAGUAUGUGGCUCAAUUCGAUGCAACGCGAAGAACCUUACCUGGCCUUGACAUGUACGUAGUAGAAGGGUGAAAGCCUGACGAGGUAGCAAUACCAGCGUACACAGGUGCUGCAUGGCUGUCGU
rnacentral:rRNA from 1 species